GUAUAGUUCUCUGUGCUACGGGAGGAUCUCCAAAAUUUAAAUUAUUUAUUUAUUUAUUUAUUUAUUUAUUUUUUAGGGCCUCACCUGAGGCAUAUGGAGGUUUCAGGCUAGGGGUCUAAUCAGAGCUACAGCUGCCGGCCUACACCAGAGCCACAGCAACUCAGGGUCCAAGCCACUUCUGUGACCUACACCGUAGCUCACGGCAACGCCGGAUCCUUAACCCACCGAACGAGGCCAGGGAUUGAACCCGCUCCUUCAUCGUUCCUAGUCGGAUUUGUUUCCGCUGCGCCACGACGGGAACGCCCCUAUUUUGUAAAUUAUAUGAUCACUUCCAGUUGAAAUAUCUGCUCACAAAGCAUCCACUGACGUAAAAGGAGGCGCGGCCUGGAAGGAUGGAUUAUCUCGAGUCUCCUGUUUCUUCUUGAUACCUCCAUGCCCUCUGGCUCUUCAGAGAAAGGAAGGUCUGAUGAAUAAAAUGUAAGAGACGAAGGUGGAAACUUUGUGGAGACUUCUCCUCACUGACCCGUGUUCCCCCCUCUGCCUGGGGUGUGUGACUCUCCAGAAUAGAACCUGCAAGUGUCUGUCGCCAGGGCUCUGGCGGUGACUCAAGAUAGGCAGGAUCAUAAGGGCGCCACGUGCUUGUGUGUGUGUGUGUGUGUGUGUGUGUGUGUGUGUGUGUGUGUGUGCUCGUACCUGAGCACACAUUUAUGUGGGAAGGGAAGGCUGUUCUUAUUGAGGUUUUGAAGAAAAAUACGUUUCAUUAUUUGAGCAUCAAGAAAAGAUUCAGCCACAGGAUGGAUUGAAAUAAGCCUCCCCGUUUUACUAAAAAUCCAUUACUUGUGGAGCUAUUAAGUGAUGAAAAGGACUAAGAGAAUAGAAAGCUAAUAAAGAUGAUAAGGGGGGAGCAUUUUGUGAAAUUUGCAUGUGCAUUUAUAACAUUCGAAUCUGUCGGCAAGACAGCGUCGCUCGGCAGAAGGAGAGAAACCCCGAACCGCACAUAUAGGCAUAAAAAAUGCAACAGCAGAGUUUCCGGCCAGGAAACCUUUUUGUUCCAUAUGGGCAUCCAUAUGUUUUAGCUUGAAAUCCAUAUUUUUGGCCUUGAUACCCAUAUGUUCGCUUUUUGCCCAAAUAAGAUUGUAUAAUCAUUCUUUAUUAUUUCUUCUUUCCUAGAAGUUAUUGCCCUACGAUUUGGGAAGGGGUAGGGAAACAAAUGGACUGUUUUAUAUACCAGGAAUACAGAUAUGAAAGAGAAGCCUGCUGUAGGAGGCACAACGUGGGUGCGGGUGUGAAUAUGUAUUCAUUUAUCAUAUAUGUUCAUGCCAUAUUCAUGUCUGCUUCAUCAAGGCAGGACUCCCAUAGAUUGAAUUUUGAUAUCACAGGCUGUCUCUCUCAGGCUGAUGCCCCCACGUGUCUAACUGAACAACAGAGACACUUUCAGGGUAGGGGCAGAAAGGGAUGGAUUUGUCCAGUACACUCUUCUGUCCAUUGGGAUUGCCCGGUAAAUAUUCACUGUAGAGCUAUGAUUUUAUUAUUUCUAGCCCCCCCCCCACAGAGUGAUAGGAGCACAUAACUCCUUAUAUCAUAAAUGUCCAAUUAUAUGUCCUCAUAUCAUAAAUGUCCAAUUAUAUGUAAGACUUUCCUUCUAGAUCUUGAGAGUCAAGCUGGGAUUGUAUUUUGACUCAGUUUUGCCUCUCUGACUCAUAGCUUACAGUUGAAUUUCAAUAAAGGAUUGGAGACCCAUUGAUCUAAAAAAGUUUAUUCACAAGGGAAAAAUGAAUUAGGCUUUUG
rnacentral:lncRNA from 1 species